rnacentral:rRNA from 1 species
CCUACGGGUGGCAGCAGUGGGGAAUAUUGCACAAUGGGGGAAACCCUGAUGCAGCGACGCCGCGUGAGUGAAGAAGUAUCUCGGUACGUAAAGCUCUAUCAGCAGGGAAGAAAAUGACGGUACCUGACUAAGAAGCCACGGCUAACUACUUGCCAGCUGCCGCGGUAAUACGUAGGGGGCAAGCGUUAUCCGGAUUUACUGGGUGUAAAGGGAGCGUAGGCGGCAGCACUAGUCUGGAGGGAAAGCCCGGGGCGUAACCCCGGAACUGCUUUGGAAACUGGGCGGCUGGAGUGCAGGAGGGGUAAGCGGAAUGCGUGGUGUAGCGGUGAAAUGCGUAGAUAUUAGGAGGAACACCGGUGGCGAAGGCGGCUUACUGGACUGUAACUGACGUUGAGGCUCGAAAGCGUGGGUAGCAAACAGGAUUAGAUACCCGGGUAGUC